rnacentral:rRNA from 1 species
UACGGAGGGUGCAAACGUUGCUCGGAAUCAUUGGGCGUAAAGCGCACGUAGGCGGCGUGAUAAGUUGGGUGUGAAAGCCCUGGGCUCAACCCAGGAAGUGCAUUCAAAACUGUCACGCUUGAAUCUCGGAGGGGGUCAGAGAAUUCCCGGUGUAGAGGUGAAAUUCGUAGAUAUCGGGAGGAAUACCAGUGGCGAAGGCGCUGACCUGGACGAAGAUUGACGCUGAGGUGCGAAAGCGCGGGGAGCAAACAGGAUUAGAAACCCCCGUAGUCC